AACGAACGCUGGCGGCGUGCCUAACACAUGCAAGUCGAGCGGGAAAGCCCGCAAGGGUGAGUACAGCGGCGCACGGGUGCGUAACACGUGGGUAAUCUGCCCUGAAGCCCGGAAUAACCUCCCGAAAGGGAAGCUAAUACCGGAUGAGACCACGGGAGCUUCGGCCCCCGCGGGAAAAGGUGGCCUCUGCAUGCAAGCUAUCACUUCAGGAUGAGCCCGCGGCCCAUCAGCUCGUUGGCGGGGUAAUGGCCCACCAAGGCUACGACGGGUAGCUGGUCUGAGAGGACGAUCAGCCACACUGGAACUGAGACACGGUCCAGACUCCUACGGGAGGCAGCAGUGGGGAAUCUUGCGCAAUGGGCGAAAGCCUGACGCAGCAACGCCGCGUGUGUGAUGAAGGUCUUCGGAUCGUAAAGCACUGUCGGGAGGGACGAAUAACGGCCAGGUGAACAAUCUGGUCGGAUGACGGUACCUCCAAAGGAAGCACCGGCUAACUCUGUGCCAGCCGCCGCGGUAAUAC
rnacentral:rRNA from 1 species